rnacentral:rRNA from 1 species
CCAUCAUUCAGUUGGGCGACUCUAGCGAGACUGCCGGUAAUAAACCGGAGGAAGGUGGGGAGUGACGUCAAAUCAUCAUGCCCCUUAUGACCUGGGCUACACACGUGCUACAAUGGUUGGUACAACGAGUUGCGAGUCGGUGACGGCGAGCUAAUCUCUUAAAGCCAAUCUCAGUUCGGAUUGUAGGCUGCAACUCGCCUACAUGAAGUCGGAAUCGCUAGUAAUCGCGGAUCAGCACGCCGCGGUGAAUACGUUCCCGGGCCUU